rnacentral:rRNA from 1 species
AUGGCGUCCAGCUCCGAUCAAGAGGGCAGCGGGAGCGGGCGGCGAGGGAGGCCGCUGGUGUUCGACGAGCUCAGGUGGGUGGUGCAGAUCCGGGAGUCCCUGACGGAGGACGGCGACGACGAGGACGACAACGGCAUCCCGGUCUCGGUGUUCAACGUGCCCAAGCAGCUGCUGGUGCACAAGCCGGAGGCGUACGUGCCGCAGUUCAUCGCCCUCGGCCCCUACCACCACUGGCGCCCCGAGCUGUACGAGAUGGAGCGGUACAAGCUCGCCGCCGCCCGCCGCGCGCAGCGCCGCCUUCGCCCCGCGGGGCUCAAGCUCGAAGCCCUCGUCGCGGAAUUCGCCGACCGUCUCGAGCGCAAGAUCCGCGCUUACUACCAUCGCUACCUCGACUUCAGCGGCUUGACGCUCACCUGGAUGAUGGUCGUCGACGGCGCCUUCCUCCUCGAGUUCCUGCAGAUCUACGCUGCCGCCGAAGACUGUGGCAAGCCGGCGCUGCGGAGGGUGUCGUCGAGGAUGGCGCACCUGGUGGACUUCGCCGGGAGGAAGUCGGCGCACGGGCUCAUACUGCGCGACAUGCUCAUGCUCGAGAACCAGAUCCCGCUCUUCCUCCUCCGCAAGAUCCUUGAGCCGCAGUGCGCGUCGGCCGACGAGGCCGGGGUGCUGCUCACGAGCAUGGUCACCGGGCUCGUGAAGGAGCUCUGUCCGUUCAAGAUGAUGGACGGCGCCUUCCCGGCCGUCGACGUCGCCAAGUACGCGCACCUGCUCGAGCUGCUCUACUACCUUCUCGUGCCCAAGCCGCCGGCGGAGGACACUACGGCAGAGGCACAAGACCAUGACGAGAACUACGACAUCGAGGAACAGCCGACGGACGGCGACGGCGAAGAGAAGCCCUCUGGCGGCGGGUCCGAGUACGUGUCGCAGCUGUUCGCCGCGCUGUGGGGCUUGGCGUCGAAGCUCGGGAAAGGCCCGCUGCACUACGUGAUGAGGCCGAUCGCUUUCGCUGUCAAGGCGCCGUGGAAGAUGCUCACCGUCGUGCCGGGCAUGUCUGGCAUGAAGUACCCCGUCGAAUCAUUCUUCAUGUCCGGGGCCGACGGCCGCGGCGACCCGUCGUCUUCGUCCACGGCGGGCCACCUGAGCCGGCCACCGCUGAUCGAGGAGAUCAUGGUGCCGUCGGUCUCCGAGCUCGUCAACGCCGGCGUGCAGAUAGCAGCCACAACCGGCGACCUGUCCACCAUCUGCUUCGACUGCAAGACGGCGACGCUGCACCUCCCGGUGGUGACACUCGACGGCAACACGGAGGUGAUGAUCCGAAACCUUGUCGCCUACGAGUCGUCGGCGGCGUCCGGCCCGCUGGUGCUCACCCGGUACACGGAGCUGAUGAACGGCAUCAUCGACACCGACGCCGACGUGGCCCUUCUGCGGCAGCGUGGCGUGGUGCUGAACCGCUUGAAGAGCGACGGCGAGGUGACGAAGCUGUGGAACAGCAUGAGCAGGUCGACGCGGCUGACGAAGGUGCCGGCGGUGGACAGGGCGGUGGAGGAGAUGAACCGGUACUACGACGGGCGGUGGCGCGUGAAGACGAAGCGGUUCAUGCGGAGGUACGUGUUCAGCUCGUGGCAGCUGCUCACCUUCCUCGCCGCCAUCAUGAUGCUGCUGCUCACGACGCUCCAGGCCUUCUGCUCCGUCUACACAUGCUCCCGGUGGUUCGGCGCCGUCACUGUCACGGCGGCGUCGGGGGAAUGA